rnacentral:tRNA from 1 species
CAUUAAGAAGCUAACCAGCAUUAACCUUUUAAGUUAAAGAUUGGGAGACUCUACCUCCCCUUAAUGA